rnacentral:rRNA from 1 species
UACGGAGGGGGCUAGCGUUGUCCGAAGUUACUGGGCGUAAAGCGUGCGCAGGCGGUGCUGUAAGACCGAUGUGAAAUCCCCGGGCUUAACCUGGGAACUGCAUUGGUGACUGCAGCGCUGGAGUAUGGCAGAGGGGGGUGGAAUUCCACGUGUAGCAGUGAAAUGCGUAGAGAUGUGGAGGAACACCGAUGGCGAAGGCAGCCCCCUGGGCCAAUACUGACGCUCAUGCACGAAAGCGUGGGGAGCAAACAGG